AUUGAACGCUGGCGGCAUGCCUUACACAUGCAAGUCGAACGGCAGCACGGGAGCAAUCCUGGUGGCGAGUGGCGAACGGGUGAGUAAAGUAUCGGAACGUGCCCAGUCGUGGGGGAUAACGUAGCGAAAGUUACGCUAAUACCGCAUACGACCUAUGGAUGAAAGCGGGGGAUCGCAAGACCUCGCGCGAUUGGAGCGGCCGAUAUCAGAUUAGGUAGUUGGUGGGGUAAAGGCUCACCAAGCCGACGAUCUGUAGCUGGUCUGAGAGGACGACCAGCCACACUGGGACUGAGACACGGCCCAGACUCCGACGGGAGGCAGCAGUGGGGAAUUUUGGACAAUGGGCGAAAGCCUGAUCCAGCCAUGCCGCGUGCAGGAUGAAGGCCUUCGGGUUGUAAACUGCUUUUGUACGGAACGAAAAGGUUUGGCCUAAUAAGCUGAGCUCAUGACGGUACCGUAGGAAUAAGCACCGGCUAACUACGUGCCAGCAGCCGCCGUAA
rnacentral:rRNA from 1 species